UACAGAGGGGGCAAGCGUUGUUCGGAAUUACUGGGCGUAAAGGGCGCAUAGGCGGCCUUCUAAGUCGAACGUGAAAUCCCUGGGCUCAACCCAGGAACUGCGUCCGAUACUGGGAGGCUUGAAUCCGGGAGAGGGAUGUGGAAUUCCAGGUGUAGCGGUGAAAUGCGUAGAUAUCUGGAGGAACACCGGUGGCGAAGGCGGCAUCCUGGACCGGUAUUGACGCUGAGGUGCGAAAGCGUGGGGAGCAAACAGG
rnacentral:rRNA from 1 species